AGCAGCCGCGGUAAUUCCAGCUCCAAUAGCGUAUAUUAAAGUUGUUGCAGUUAAAAAGCUCGUAGUUGAACUUCGGGGCCAGUAGGUUGGUCGUGCCACUGGUAUGCACUGGCCUUACUGGUCCCUCCCUCUUGUAGAACCGUGAUGCCAUUAAUUUGGUGUUGCGGGGAAGCAGGACUGUUACUUUGAAAAAAUUAGAGUGUUUAAAGCAGGCUAACGCUUGAAUACAUUAGCAUGGAAUAAUGAAAUAGGACGACGAUCCUAUUUUGUUGGUUUCUAGGAUUGACGUAAUGAUUAAUAGGGAUAGUUGGGGGCAUUAGUAUUCAAUUGUCAGAGGUGAAAUUCUUGGAUUUAUUGAAGACUAACUACUGCGAAAGCAUUUGCCAAGGAUGUUUUCAUUAAUCAAGAACGAAAGUUAGGGGAUCGAAGACGAUCAGAUACCGUCGUAGUCUUAACCAUAAACUAUGCCGACUAGGGAUCGGAUGAUGUUAAUUUUAUAAUGACUCAUUCGGCGCCUUAC
rnacentral:rRNA from 1 species